rnacentral:rRNA from 1 species
GACGAACGCUGGCGGCGUGCCUAAUACAUGCAAGUAGAACGCUGAAGGAGGAGCUUGCUUCUCCGGAUGAGUUGCGAACGGGUGAGUAACGCGUAGGUAACCUGCCUUGUAGCGGGGGAUAACUAUUGGAAACGAUAGCUAAUACCGCAUAAGAGUAGAUGUCGCAUGACAUUUGCUUAAAAGGUGCAACUGCACCACUACCAGAUGGACCUGCGUUGUAUUAGCUAGUUGGUGAGGUAACGGAUCACCAAGGCAACGAUACAUAGCCGACCUGAGAGGGUGAUCGGCCACACUGGGACGGAGACACGGCCCAGACGCCUACGGGAGGCAGCAGUAGGGAAUCUUCGGCAAUGGACGGAAGUCUGACCGAGCAACGCCGCGUGAGGGAAGAAGGUUUUCGGAUCGGAAAGCUCUGUUGUAAGAGAAGAACGAGUGUGAGAGUGGAAAGUUCACACUGUGACGGUAUCUGACCAGAAAGGGACGGCUAACUACGUG